GAAUCUGAUGCAUCGAUGCCGCGUGAGUGAAGAAGGCCUUUGGGUUGUAAAGCUCUUUUGUAGGGGAAGAUAAUGACUGUACCCUAAGAAUAAGGUCCGGCUAACUUCGUGCCAGCAGCCGCGGUAAUACGAAGGGACCUAGCGUAGUUCGGAAUUACUGGGCGUAAAGCGCGCGUAGGCCGUUGAGUUAGUUAAUUGUGAAAUCCCAAAGCUUAACUUUGGAACUGCAAUUAAAACUGCUCGACUAGAGUUUGACAGAGGAAAGCGGAAUACAUAGUGUAGAGGUGAAAUUCGUAGAUAUUAUGUAGAACACCAGUUGCGAAGGCGGCUUUCUGGGUCAACACUGACGCUGAGGCGCGAAAGUAUGGGUAGCAAAGAGGAUUAGAUACCCUCGUAGUCCAUACCAUAAACGAUGAUUGCUAGAUGUUGGAAAUUUAUUUUCAGUAUCGCAGCUAACGCAUUAAGCAAUCCGCCUGGGGAGUACGACCGCAAGGUUAAAACUCAAAUGAAUUGACGGGGACCCGCACAAGCGGUGGAGCAUGUGGUUUAAUUCGAAGAUACGCGCAGAAGCUUUACAAGCCUUGACAUGUCUGUCGCGAGUUAGG
rnacentral:rRNA from 1 species